rnacentral:rRNA from 1 species
UACGUAGGGGGCUAGCGUUGUCCGGAAUCAUUGGGCGUAAAGCGCGUGUAGGCGGUUCGGUAAGUCCGCUGUGAAAGUCGGGGGCUCAACCCUCGAAAGCCGGUGGAUACUGUCGGACUAGAGUACGGAAGAGGCGAGUGGAAUUCCCGGUGUAGCGGUGAAAUGCGCAGAUAUCGGGAGGAACACCAAUGGCGAAGGCAGCUCGCUGGGACGUUACUGACGCUGAGACGCGAAAGCGUGGGGAGCAAACAGG